rnacentral:rRNA from 1 species
UUACUGAGUUAUCAAAAACUCCAACCCUUUGUGAACCUACCUAUGUUUCCUCCGGCGUACCGCUGUAGCCUACCCGCAGGGCUCCCCCUUAGGGGGGUUUUGCUGGGGAGGUGCCUGAGUGCUACCUAUCCUUCGGGGUACGGUUAGUGCAGUGAAGGUGCCGACCAAGGCCUCGGCGGCGCCGAGUAGGACCGCUCCAAACUUAAGCACUUAGUGCAUCCAACCCCGCGUUGAACAACUAUCGAAAAUUUGCUUUUGCUUUUUUUCUUUACGCUAAAACGUCUUUCCCCGGUUGGAAUUAUUGCUCGAAAUGAUAAUUUCCUUACCCUGUAGUCGUUUGUUUUCAAGCUACAAUAUAUCUGCUCGAAUAAAAUUGCUUCAAUAUUUGCUCGAAAAUUGUUCAAAGCUCUGAGGGGUCUGAAUGAAUUCAUAAAAUUGGCAAAAGCCACCUAUAAACUACGGUUUUUAGGGGGUGAUCAAACCAAGGUUUUAAAAACCAAAUACGUUAAAACUUUCAACAACGGAUCUCUUGGUUCUGGCAUCGAUGAAGAACGCAGCGAAAUGCGAUAAGUAAUGUGAAUUGCAGAAUUCAGUGAAUCAUCGAAUCUUUGAACGCACAUUGCGCCCAUUAGUAUUCUAGUGGGCAUGCCUAUUCGAGCGUCAUUAUAACCCUUAAGCCUUGUUGCUUAGCGUUGGGAAUCUACCCCUCACUGAGGGGUAGUUCCUUAAAUGUAGUGGCGGGGUUAUAGCACACUCUAAGCGUAGUAGUUUAACUCGCUUUCAGGGAGGCUGUAGCUGCUUGCCGUAAAACCCCUUAUAACUUAUAGUGGUUGACCUCGGAUUAGGUAGGAAUACCCGCUGAACUUAAGCAUAUCAAUAAGCGGAGGAAAAGAAACCAACAGGGAUUGCCCUAGUAACGGCGAGUGAAGCGGCAAAAGCUCAAAUUUGAAAUCUGGCCCUAGCGGUCCGAGUUGUAAUUUGCAGAGGAUGCUUUUGGUGCGGUGCCUUCCGAGUUCCCUGGAACGGGACGCCAUAGAGGGUGAGAGCCCCGUACGGUUGGACGCCUAGCCUUUAUAUAGCUCCUUCGACGAGUCGAGUAGUUUGGGAAUGCUGCUCUAAAUGGGAGGUAAAUUUCUUCUAAAGCUAAAUACCGGCCAGAGACCGAUAGCGCACAAGUAGAGUGAUCGAAAGAUGAAAAGCACUUUGAAAAGAGGGUUAAAUAGCACGUGAAAUUGUUGAAAGGGAAGCGUUUGCGACCAGACCUUCUCCAGGGGGAUCAACCGUUGUUUUCAGCGGUGCACUCCCCCUGGUUUAGGCCAGCAUCGGUUCUCUUAGGGGGAUAAAGGCCUGGGGAACGUAGCUCUUUAGGGAGUGUUAUAGCCCCUAGCGUAAUACCCUUCAGGGGACCGAGGACCGCGCUCGGC